UGGGGAAUAUUGGACAAUGGGCGCAAGCCUGAUCCAACCAUGCCGCGUGAGUGAUGAAGGCCCUAGGGUUGUAAAGCUCUUUCACCGGUGAAGAUAAUGACGGUAACCGGAGAAGAAGCCCCGGCUAACUUCGUGCCAGCAGCCGCGGUAAUACGAAGGGGGCUAGCGUUGUUCGGAUUUACUGGGCGUAAAGCGCACGUAGGCGGACUAUUAAGUCAGGGGUGAAAUCCCGGGGCUCAACCCCGGAACUGCCUUUGAUACUGGUAGUCUUGAGUUCGAGAGAGGUGAGUGGAAUUCCGAGUGUAGAGGUGAAAUUCGUAGAUAUUCGGAGGAACACCAGUGGCGAAGGCGGCUCACUGGCUCGAUACUGACGCUGAGGUGCGAAAGCGUGGGGAGCAAACAGG
rnacentral:rRNA from 1 species